GAUUAACGCUAGCGGCAGGCAUAAUACAUGCAAGUUGAACGGCAGCACAGGUAGCAAUACUGGGUGGCGAGUGGCGCACGGGUGCGUAACACGUAUGCAACCUACCCUAUACAGGCGAAUAACCUUUAGAAAUGAGGGCUAAUACGCCGUAGUAUUACAGAUGGGCAUCUAUUUGUAAUUAAAGAUUUAUCGGUAUAGGAUGGGCAUGCGUCCCAUUAGUUAGUUGGUAAGGUAACGGCUUACCAAGACGAUGAUGGGUAGGGGAUCUGAGAGGUCUUACCCCCACACUGGUACUGAGACACGGACCAGACUCCUACGGGAGGCAGCAGUAAGGAAUAUUGGGCAAUGGCCGCGAGGCUGACCCAGCCAUGCCGCGUGCAGGAAGACGGCCUUAUGGGUUGUAAACUGCUUUUAUACGGGAAUAAUAGAGUGUACGCGUACAUUUAUGCAAGUAUCGUAUGAAUAAGCAUCGGCUAACUCCGUG
rnacentral:rRNA from 1 species